UGUUUGGGUGGAGUGCAGUGGAGAGCACCAGUGCAUGGCAUGAAGAGGAGAGCCCACGGACAGGGGAACGUGCUCAGUUUCUACAUGAACACAGAAAAACAUCUGUUCUUCCUUCUGUUUGGCUGAACUGCAGAAGGGACUUACCUGGAAUAACAGGGUGCUCUUUAAACAAAACCUGUUCUUUAUACUUCUAAAUCAGGAUUUAACCCUCCACUGGUACCUUGGGCAAUCUCCAGCUGCCUUUUUGCAUCUCCUAAUGCAGAGAACAGAUCCAGCUUGAUCCUGGUCUCUGCACUCAGGCUGUUCUCUAAGUGCUG